rnacentral:rRNA from 1 species
UUCGGGGUUAGUGGCGGACGGGUGAGUAACACGUGGGAACGUGCCUUUUGGUUCGGAAUAGCUCCUGGAAACGGGUGGUAAUGCCGAAUGUGCCCUUCGGGGGAAAGAUUUAUCGCCAUUAGAGCGGCCCGCGUCUGAUUAGCUAGUUGGUGAGGUAAAGGCUUACCAAGGCUACGAUCAGUAGCUGGUCUGAGAGGAUGACCAGCCACAUUGGGACUGAGACACGGCCCAAACUCCUACGGGAGGCAGCAGUGGGGAAUCUUGCGCAAUGGGCGAAAGCCUGACGCAGCCAUGCCGCGUGAAUGAUGAAGGUCUUAGGAUUGUAAAAUUCUUUCACCGGGGACGAUAAUGACGGUACCCGGAGAAGAAGCCCCGGCUAACUUCGUGCCAGCAGCCGCGGUAAUACGAAGGGGGCUAGCGUUGCUCGGAAUUACUGGGCGUAAAGGGAGCGUAGGCGGACAUUUAAGUCAGGGGUGAAAUCCCAGAGCUCAACUCUGGAACUGCCUUUGAUACUGGAUGUCUUGAGUGUGAGAGAGGUAUGUGGAACUCCGAGUGUAGAGGUGAAAUUCGUAGAUAUUCGGAAGAACACCAGUGGCGAAGGCGACAUACUGGCUCAUUACUGACGCUGAGGCUCGAAAGCGUGGGGAGCAAACAGGAUUAGAUACCCUGGUAGUCCACGCCGU